rnacentral:lncRNA from 1 species
AAAAAAAAUUGAUGCAAUUUGUCCACUUCAAAUUAUGCGAUUAGUCAAUUACUCUUUCAUUUCUAAUGGUAGUUUAGAAAAUUCAAUGAAAUAAAAAUAGAAUGGAAACCUCUUUUCAAGACAUUUAUAAAAAGGAUUAGAAUUCUGUCAUGAUCUAAUCUUAUACUGAGAAAAAAUUCAAGUGCUGAUUAGUAGUUCCUAAAUUAAAGGAAUAAAAAAGUUAAAUCUUACCCAUACAUCGAAGGUAAUACAACUGAUUGUAUAAUUGAAUUUAAUAUAAUUGCUACUAUAUACUAUAAUGCUUUUUAAAAAUAAAUGCACACAUGGUCAUAGUAUCAUUUACUUAGUAUAUAAUUGACAUGAUAUCUCUGAAAUAUUCUAAAAUUUAUCCACUAAAAAAAUAUGACAUAAGAUUUUAAAAACUUAAAAGAGAUUAGAAGAGGUAUCCAAUCCAUGUCAUUGAAAUUUGAUUAUAAUGUUAUGGACAAUUAAUUUACAUGCAUGCAUAGGAGGACAUUGUAAUUUAUAUUUAUAUAUUGUUACUACCUAAAAAGUGGAUGUUAGGCCCAAAGGCCUAGUCUAACCACAAGGUACGCGUCUCAUGGACGCCCAAGCCCUUGUACUAUAUGUUAUGGUUUGGAAGGUACAGAUAUACGAAAGUAAGAGUUAAUUCACAUUAAAUAUUUAGCUAAGCCCACUUCGAGGACUUUUUAGCCUAUAUAAGAGAAUGCCUUAUGAAACGAGCUAGUAAAGAACCAAUUAUUCUAUAAAAAAAAAGCUAAAAAUAUGUCUAGUUUAAACACCAAAUCCUAAAUCACAUACAUAAAUUGUUGAUAAAUUGUUGAUUUACAUGCAUCAACAAUUGUUUUGCUUUUAGAUUAAUAGUCAAGGAGUUAGUAGAUAAUUAGUGGCUAAAGAGGCUCAUUUUGGUAAGAAUGCAUCGCAAUUGAACUAAAUGCAUGACUGAAGCUUGCAUAAGAUAAAAUGCAGCCUAACAAGUUUGUAUGAGGUAGAUCCUCGUAUAGCCUACUGUAAAUUUAAGCAUCAUAAUAAUGUGAAAAUGGAAAGGAUGGUAUGGAGAAUUGAUUGGUUCUCAAUCAAAACUCCAAGUAGAAUUAUUAACAGUGAGGGCAGUCAUUUCGUUUUGAGUUAAGUGAUUUAAGAGAAAAUUAAAGUGACUUAAGGGCAUGUUUGGUUGCUGUAUUAUAACUUCUCAUUACAUUAGCUUUAUACAAGCCCAUGUUUGGUAAGUUAAAAGCUACAAAAACACUGCAUAAUGGGCCAAUCUAAUGCGGCAAACUGCCGCUUGCUCUUUCCUUUUUUUUUUUUUUUCCUUUUCGUUUCCAACUUUCCAGCUUUUGCUAACUUUUGCUUUUACUUUAAUUUUAUUAUAAUAAUAAUAAUAAAUAUUAUUUUUUAAUUUAAUAUUAUAUUAUUUAAUAUUUGUUUCCUUUUCGUUUGCUCUUUCCUUUUUUUUUUGUUUCCUUUUCGUUUCCAACUUUCC